UUUCUACUCCCUCCGUCCGAAAAUACUUGUCAUCAAAAUGGAUAAAAAGAUAUGUAUCUAAAACUAAAAUACGUCUAGAUACAUUUCCUUUUAUCCAUUUUGAUGACAAGUAUUUCCGGACGGAGGGAGUAUUUG
rfam:Triticum aestivum genome assembly, contig: Triticum_aestivum_CS42_TGACv1_scaffold_404421_5BL